rnacentral:lncRNA from 1 species
GUUAAGGGAAGUAGAUUUGUGUUCAGCGCAUCAGAACAAGGCAAUAUAUAUAUGAAAUUAGUUCCUGGCAGGUUGGGCUUUAUAUCCAAAACUUGUUCAUGGCAGAUUGGCUGUCCAGACUGAGCACCUUCCAUGAUUGAAAGAAAUUAGAUUAGAAGUUUUUGACUUGUAUAGGAAUUUUACACGAAAAUUCAAAUGAUGCUUGUUAAAGGAAGUAGAUUUGAGUGUGGAGGAUCAGAGCAAGGCACUAUAUAUCUGAAACUAGUUUCUAGCAGAUUGGACUAUAUAUCAGAAACUAGUUUGAAGCAGAUUGGAGGGGGAAGGAGAAUCACUCAUGAGGUCCAGGAGGCCAUGGGUUCUGGCUGGUGGUGCACAGAGUUUUCCCAGUGGCAGGGGAGCACAUCCAUGCAUGACCACUUUGUACUCUCCAUGUUAUACCACAUUAAAAUAACAUCCAGCAACCUCUUAUUUAUUCUUGAACACGAAAAGAUUGUUAGGCUCAGCCAAGGACCGCUAGCACCAUUUCUUGAUUUAUCUUGAAAAAACAUAAACAAGCAAAACUGUUCUCCCUCAAUUUCUUGGCAACCUUGUCCUAAAACAAGCGCUUCCUGGUUCUUCAUAUGUUUAUAUACUUCAUUGUGCAUGAAGCAUGAUAUCAGUAUGUUAGAUUAGUUAGUUGUUACUUGAAACUCAUUCUAUUCUACCUUUCCUGAACCCAGUCUUGCAUCUUCUUGAUUACUGGUCAACCCCAGAUUCUCCAUUGGCUGUCCAACACC